rnacentral:rRNA from 1 species
UACGUAGGGGGCAAGCGUUAUCCGGAUUUACUGUGUGUAAAGGGGGCGCAGACGGCAGCGCAAGCCAGGAGUGAAAGCCCGGGGCCCAACCCCGGGACUGCUCUUGGAACUGCGCGGCUGGAGUGCAGGAGGGGCAGGCGGAAUUCCUGGUGUAGCGGUGAAAUGCGUAGAUAUCAGGAGGAACACCGGUGGCGAAGGCGGCCUGCUGGACUGCGACUGACGUUGAGGCCCGAAAGCGUGGGGAGCAAACAGG